AUUGCACGAUGGCGGCAGUCCUAACACAUGCAAGUCGAGCGAGCGGCGGACGAGUGAGUAAUGCAUGGGGACUGCCCGAUAGAGGGGGAUAACUACUGGAAACGGUGGCUAAUACCGCAUAAUGUCGGUUAACGCAUAGGGGAUUAGCUAGUAGGUAAGGUAAUGGAUUACCUAGGAGACGCUCCCUCGGUGGUCUGAGAGGAUGAUCAGCCAUACGGGAACUGAGACACGGCCCGGAGUACUACGGAGGCAGCAGUGGAGAAUAUUGCACAGUGGGCGCGAGCCUGAUGCAGCCAUGCCGCGUGUAUGAAGAAGGCCCUAGGGUUGUAAAGUACUUUCAGUCGGGAGGCGUUACCGACAGAAGAAGCACCGGCUAACUCCGUGCUAGCCGCCGCGGUAAUAC
rnacentral:rRNA from 1 species